GCAAGUCGAGGGGUAACAUGAGUGCUUGCACUUGAUGACGACCGGCGCACGGGUGCGUAACGCGUAUGCAACCUACCUUAUACAGAGGGAUAGCCCAGAGAAAUUUGGAUUAAUACCUCAUGGUACUAUUUAUUGGCAUCGAUAGAUAUUUAAAACUCCGGUGGUAUAAGAUGGGCAUGCGUUAGAUUAGCUAGUUGGUAAGGUAACGGCUUACCAAGGCUACGAUCUAUAGGGGGUCUGAGAGGAUAGUC
rnacentral:rRNA from 1 species